UACGUAGGGUGCGAGCGUUAAUCGGAAUUACUGGGCGUAAAGCGUGCGCAGGCGGCUUUGCAAGACAGAUGUGAAAUCCCCGGGCUCAACCUGGGAACUGCAUUUGUGACUGCAAGGCUAGAGUACGGCAGAGGGGGAUGGAAUACCGCGUGUAGCAGUGAAAUGCGUAGAUAUGCGGAGGAACACCAAUGGCGAAGGCAAUCCCCUGGGCCUGUACUGACGCUCAUGCACGAAAGCGUGGGGAGCAAACAGG
rnacentral:rRNA from 1 species